ACGGACGCGCAUGAAAUUUGGUGCCGUGACUCGGAUCAGGUGAACUCCCCUGGGAGAUCAAUCCCCUGUCCUCCUGCUCUUUGCUCCAUGAGAAAGAUCCACCUACGACCUCUGGUCCUCAGACCAGCCAGCCCAAGGAACAUCUCACCAAUUUUAAAUCCGAAACAAUGAAUUCCGGAAAGGAGAUGGAGCAAGAUGGCCUAAUAGAAGCCUUCACUGAUUGUCUACCCUGCAGGAACACCAAAUUAAACAACUAUCCACACAAGAAAGCACCCUCAGAACAACCAAAAAUCAGAAAAAGCUGGCUGCCCUCUGUUCUAAACUCUUAAAUUUGUGGAUCAGCUCAUGGAAUCAACUUAAGUGUCCAUAACGGAUGGAUUGGAUAAAGAAAAUGUGGUACAUAUGCACCAUGGAAUACUACACAGACAUUAAAAAAAAUCACGUCCUUGUCAGCAACAUGGAUGCAGCUGGAGGUCAUUAUCCUAAGUGAAUCAACACAGAAACAGAACAUCAAACACUGCAUUUUCUCGUAAGUGGAAGCUGAACUGUGGGUACACAGGAACAUAAAGAUGAAAAUAAUAGACACUGGGGGCUCUAAAAGUGGGGAGAGAAAGAGGAGGACAAGGGUUGAAAAACUACCUAUUGAGUAUCUAUGUUCACUCUUUGGGUGAUGGGUUCACCAGAAUCCCAAAUGCCAGCAUUAUGCAAUACACCCAUGCAAUAAACCUGCACAUGUACCCCUGAAUUUGUAAUAAAAAUUUGAACAUCAUCA
rnacentral:lncRNA from 1 species